rnacentral:rRNA from 1 species
GACGAACCGUGCAAACGUUAUUCGGAAUCACUGGGCUUAAAGCGCGUGUAGGCGGGCCGGCACGUCGGUCGUUGAAAUCCCCCGGCUCAACCGGGGAAGCGGCGCCGAUACGACCGGCCUCGAGGGACGUAGGGGGGGCUGGAACUUCCGGUGGAGCGGUGAAAUGCGUUGAGAUCGGAAGGAACGCCCGUGGCGAAGGCGGUUCUCUGGGACGGUACUGACGCUGAGACGCGAAAGCGUGGGGAGCGAACAGG